CUCAUUUUUUAAAUUUAAUUGGCUUAACGACUAAUAUACUCCCAGAAAGUUUUCCAUAUUUCUAGUUGGUUCCCAGAUAGAUCAAAAUACGUUCGCCUUAUGGGGUUUGACUAAGUUUCUUUUGAUAAAUGUGCAAUAACGUUGCAAUAUCGACUGCAAUGAUUUCAAGAGUUAUGUCCAAGAUUGUGCAGUAGCACGUUUGUCUAGAGGAGCUACGCGUCAGAUUAUUCGUUUUAAUUCGUGAACGAAUUUUGUUUUGCCCCGUUAAUAUACACAGUAUCAAUGCAAGCAGGUAUUUCUGUUUGCGCAGGUUUGUACAGGCGGAUCAUUCGUCAAAAAUAUAUAAUUUUGUCAACGAUUUCUUCUAUAAUUAAACUUAGUAUUGUAAGUAAUAUAUGAACAAUGAGAGCGCGUGUUUCGCCGGGAUAUCCAAACACGAGAAAACAACGUAUGAAAAUACGAGCGCGAAGCCCGAGUGUUUUCAUACCUUGUUUUCGAGUGUUUGGAUAUCCCGGUGAGACACGAGCUCGAGUUGUU